AUUGCACGCUGGCGGCAGGCUUAACACAUGCAAGUCGAGCGAGCGGCGGACGGGUGAGUAAGGUCUGGGAAACUGACUGAUGGAGGGGGAUAACUACUGGAAACGGUAGCCAAUACCGCAUACCAUCAGAUGUGUCCAGAUGGGAUUAUCUAUUAGGUGGGGUAAUGGCUCACCUAGGCGACGCUCCCUAGCUGGUCUGCGAGGAUGACCAGCCACGCGGGAACUGAGAGACGGUCCAGAAUGCUACGGGAGGCAGCAGUGGGGAAGAUGGCACAAUGGGCGCAAGCCUGAUGCAGCCAUGCCGCGUGUGUGAAGAAGGCCUUCGGGUUGGAAAGCACUUUCAGCGAGGAGGCGGUACUCGCAGAAGAAGCACCGGCUAACUCCGUGCCAGCAGCCGCGGUAAUAC
rnacentral:rRNA from 1 species